rnacentral:lncRNA from 1 species
AGUCUAAUUGCACUGUCGCACUCUCUGCGCCUAUACUAAAACAACCACAAGGCUAAAUAUAGACCUUAUCUGUGACAAUGAACCUAACAGGCAACUUCGGUGCUGGACACGGUUUUCUGUAGAAAUCCUGAAAUAUACAGAGUGUAUUACCAUAUGCUUGCUUCUUUAAGUAUGUGCCUGAAACAAGAAUGUCCUGGAGAAAACAGACCACAACAAGAAAAGGGAUGGAGAGGAAGGGCUUGCUGUUGAGAGAUCAUGGAGUGCCUUGAGGUUCCACCUUCAGUCUUGAUGUUCUGCCCUAAUACCUCAAAGCGAUGGCCUCUUGUGCCUGGCAAUAUAUGAGCGAAGCACAAUGGACUGGUGCCUGUACAUGUAAUGUAUUUCAUGCAAAUGAAGGGUAGAAUGAGAAGCUCACAAUGAUAUGGUAGACGAGGACCUUGCUGUCUAAAGCUCGGAGGCCAGAUGACAGUGUCUGAAUUUAUAUUUUAUUCAUGAACAGCCGGCUUGUCAGAAUUGCGUACAAGGAUGCCAUUGGACUUUUCUGUACUAGUAGCUGAAGGGGAGCAGUCACCAGAAGGAGCAUGCAACUCCAAAACAAUGUGGAUACUUCUACCGAGUUCAUCUCAAGAAUCGAGAUGUGACAGUGGAUGUACAUGUAGAGGGGUUUGUGACCCUCCUGACUGUGGACUACUUGCAAUACACAUAAACUCAAUCAAUGGAUUGUAGAGGAGUAAUGGUGGGUCCGGUGAGCUCAACUCUGGAGAUUAAAUUCGGAAAAUUAAUAAAGUUCCUUUUAAUAUGGGUGCAUAUGGUUCCAGGGAUUAAUUUGACGCAAUGCCCCGUGGUGACACGCCGUUUUAAGGGGCAACACACGUAUCAGAAGGUAUAAAAUGGGAAGCAGUUCCUGAAUUGGCGCGAGCUUUUACUUUUCGGAUGACUUCCUUAUUUUGUUUCAUACCUCAUUUCCUUUGCCGCCAUGAGGUGCUAAAGUUUUAGCAGAGUUGGGGGCUUCCACCCCAUAGAUGUGACUUUUCAUGAUUAAAUGUAAUAAAUUGUAAUAAAGUUACUAUCCACUUCAA